UGUGUGAGCUAUUUAUUUGUGGACACAAUGUCAGAACACACAAAACGGCAGGAGUAAACUCAAAAUGAGCAUUUAAUUGUCAUAGUCUAAAAAUACACAGGAACAAACAGAUAAGACAGCGAAUGAACAACUCUAAGGAUUGCUAGGAGAUACAGCGUCACUGUCAAACUCAGAGUACUACUCUGAGGUACUGCGGAGAGCUACACACAGCUAUGAGGGAUAAUGAAUAAACAGAGACAGAGACAAUAUAUAUAGACACAGCAGAUAACGAGGGGAGCGGUAACAGCCGUUUUCAAGGAGGACCUUUUACCCCAGACGUGUCAUUCGGCCAGAGUUCUGGAUGGAAGUCUCCAAUCUUUAGACCACCGUCCUCCUCCAGGCACUCCAUGUCCUCACUGGUCUACCCACCUCCUUAAAAAAACACACACACGAAAACUGUCAUGAGGUCUCUAGAUGAAGUACGCCUAGCUAAAAUGAGUCACCACCCGGUUUAUAUGUUGGUUUCACUCACACACCUGUGAAUUCACAGACACGAUUAAAUGUAUUUAGCUUAAAACCAAGAUUUGUUCUUAUGUACAUUGAUUACAAACCUAAAAUUUAAGUUUGGUAAAUUGUGUUCAAUCUACAAAUUCAAUAAACAGAUGAUAAGAUAA